GAGAGAGCAUAUACGAGAACUGCUAAUUCUAGUACCCGGAAUUAAACCCCCGGCCCUCUUA
rnacentral:tRNA from 1 species